rnacentral:rRNA from 1 species
CUUGGUCAUUUAGAGGAAGUAAAAGUCGUAACAAGGUCUCCGUAGGUGAACCUGCGGAGGGAUCAUUACAAGUGACCCCGGUCUAACCACCGGGAUGUUCAUAACCCUUUGUUGCCCGACUCUGUUGCCUCCGGGGCGACCCUGCCUUCGGGCGGGGGCUCCGGGUGGACACUUCAAACUCUUGCGUAACUUUGCAGUCUGAGUAAACUUAAUUAAUAAAUUAAAACUUUUAACAACGGAUCUCUUGGUUCUGGCAUCGAUGAAGAACGCAGCGAAAUGCGAUAAGUAAUGUGAAUUGCAGAAUUCAGUGAAUCAUCGAAUCUUUGAACGCACAUUGCGCCCCCUGGUAUUCCGGGGGGCAUGCCUGUUCGAGCGUCAUUUCACCACUCAAGCCUCGCUUGGUAUUGGGCAACGCGGUCCGCCGCGUGCCUCAAAUCGACCGGCUGGGUCUUCUGUCCCCUAAGCGUUGUGGAAACUAUUCGCUAAAGGGUGUUCGGGAGGCUACGCCGUAAAACAACCCCAUUUCUAAGGUUGACCUCGGAUCAGGUAGGGAUACCCGCUGAACUUAAGCAUAUCAAUAAGCGGAG